CCCUGGUAGUCCACGCCGUAAACGAUGUCUACUUGGAGGUUGUGCCCUUGAGGCGUGGCUUCCGGAGCUAACGCGUUAAGUAGACCGCCUGGGGAGUACGGCCGCAAGGUUAAAACUCAAAUGAAUUGACGGGGGCCCGCACAAGCGGUGGAGCAUGUGGUUUAAUUCGAUGCAACGCGAAGAACCUUACCUGGUCUUGACAUCCACAGAAGAAUCCAGAGAUGGAUUUGUGCCUUCGGGAACUGUGAGACAGGUGCUGCAUGGCUGUCGUCAGCUCGUGUUGUGAAAUGUUGGGUUAAGUCCCGCAACGAGCGCAACCCUUAUCCUUUGUUGCCAGCGGUUAGGCCGGGAACUCAAAGGAGACUGCCAGUGAUAAACUGGAGGAAGGUGGGGAUGACGUCAAGUCAUCAUGGCCCUUACGACCAGGGCUACACACGUGCUACAAUGGCGCAUACAAAGAGAAGCGACCUCGCGAGAGCAAGCGGACCUCAUAAAGUGCGUCGUAGUCCGGAUUGGAGUCUGCAACUCGACUCCAUGAAGUCGGAAUCGCUAGUAAUCGUGGAUCAGAAUGCCACGGUGAAUACGUUCCCGGGCCUUGUACACACCGCCCGUCACACCAUGGGAGUGGGUUGCAAAAGAAGUAGGUAGCUUAACCUUCGGGAGGGCGCUUACCACUUUGUGAUUCAUGACUGGGGUGAAGUCGUAACAAGGUAACCGUAGGGGAACCUGCGGUUGGAUCACCUCCUUACCUUAAAGAA
rnacentral:rRNA from 1 species